rnacentral:hammerhead_ribozyme from 1 species
GCACUGCUGACUAGUCUUAAACAGGACGAAACAGCUGUCCAGUGC